GUUGAGGUCAGUGGGCUGACUGUGAACGCUCUGAGAGACUCUGGGUUGAGGUCAGUGGGCUGACUGUGAACGCUCUGAGAGACUCUGGGUUGAGGUCAGUGGGCUGACUGUGAAGGCUCUGAGAGACUCUGGGUUGAGGUCAGUGGGCUGACUGUGAACGCUCUGAGAGACUCUGGGUUGAGGUCAGUGGGCUGACUGUGAACUCUCUGAGAGACUCUGGGUUGAGGUCUGAGAGACUCUGGGUUGAGGUCAGUGGGCUGACUGUGAACUCUCUGAGAGACUCUGGGUUGAGGUCAGUGGGCUGACUGUGAAGGCUCUGAGAGACUCUGGGUUGAGGUCAGUGGGCUGACUGUGAACGCUCUGAGAGACUGGGUUGAGGUCAGUGAUAAAGUUUUUGUUUGUUAUGUUGUCGUAGUUGUGCCUAUGGGGGGCAUAUGGCGGAGGGAAUGCUGUUACCUCCAGGUAGGUGUUUGUCCCCCUGUGUGCUGAAGGUGUCAGGUUCUUGUCCAGUUCUAGAAUUUAGUUCGCCACAAACUAGUACAUGUCCCUGGGCCUGAAUAUGGUUGAUCUCCCGAUCUAGGAUGGAGAAGCUGUUAAAUUAGGGGGAUAUAGAUAUAGG